CCCGUGAUCCAAUGCGGCGAAAGGCGGUAGCGCUGCUGCAGGAGCAGCAUCUCCAUCCUCAGCCUCUCCUGAUGCCGCCAGAGACGUCUCCAUCCGGGUCCUUUCCAGCGGCGCGCGAGCGAGGCUAGGGCUCCCCACGCGCUCAGCAGAUAGUGGAGAAACCGUAGCUGCAGAUGUGCUGGGCAUUCUUGGCUUUGAAGAUGAUAAAGGGAAGUACUUGGAAAAUAGCUUUUGUAUAUAUUUAAAAGUCUGUGAUCCUUGGAAAUAGUUAAUGAGCUCUCCAAGUUUCUUAAGUUAUCUAAUUUGUGAGAAAGUAGAACUUUAGUUUGUAAUUAUGAGAGACAGUUGAAAGGAAAAUGAAAGGUAAUGCUCUUAACUUAAAUACACAGGCAGUCCUAUUUUUGCCAAAGCAAUCUAAAUUGUUUUGGUUAAGCCUGACCCAUUUUGUUAACAAGGUAUUAUGUUAGGCAUAUCAA